CCUGACUGCUAUCGGAUUGAUACUAAGCCAUGCGAGUCUUUGUAGUAAUACAAGGCAGACGGCUCAGUAACACGUAGUCAACCUACCCUAUGGACAAGAAUAAUCUCGGGAAACUGGGCAUAAUUCUUGAUAGAUCAUAAUGCCUGGAAUGGUUUAUGGUUAAAAUGAUUCGUCGCCAUAGGAUGGGACUGCGGCCUAUCAGCUUGUUGGUGAGGUAAUGGCCCACCAAGGCGAUUACAGGUACGGGCUCUGAGAGGAGAAGCCCGGAGAUGGGUACUGAGACACGGACCCAGGCCCUAUGGGGCGCAGCAGGCGAGAAAACUUUGCAAUGUGCGAAAGCACGACAAGGUUAAUCCGAGUGAUUUCUGCUAAAGAAAUCUUUUGCCAGUCAUAAAACCACUGGUGAAUAAGGGGUGGGCAAGUUCUGGUGUCAGCCGCCGCGGUAAAACCAGCACCUCAAGUGGUCAGGAUGAUUAUUGGGCCUAAAGCAUCCGUAGCCGGCUUUGUAAGUUUUCGGUUAAAUCCAUGUGCUCAACGCAUGGGCUGCCGAAAAUACUGCAUAGCUAGGGAGUGGGAGAGGUAGACGGUACUCAGUAGGAAGGGGUAAAAUCCUUUGAUCUAUCGAUGACCACCUGUGGCGAAGGCGGUCUACCAGAACACGUUCGACGGUGAGGGAUGAAAGCUGGGGGAGCAAACCGGAUUAGAUACCCGGGUAGUCCCAGCUGUAAACGAUGCAGACUCGAUGAUGCAUUGGCAUAAUAGCCAGUGCAGUGUCGCAGGGAAGCCGUUAAGUCUGCCGCCUGGGAAGUACGUACGCAAGUAUGAAACUUAAAGGAAUUGGCGGGGGAGCACCACAAGGGGUGAAGCCUGCGGUUC
rnacentral:rRNA from 1 species